UACAGAGGGGGCAAGCGUUGUUCGGAAUUACUGGGCGUAAAGGGCGCGUAGGCGGCCCGAUAAGUCUGCUGUGAAAGUCCAGGGCUCAACCCUGGAAUGCCGGUGGAUACUGUCGGGCUAGAGUUCGGAAGAGGCAAGUGGAAUUCCUGGUGUAGCGGUGGAAUGCGCAGAUAUCAGGAGGAACACCGGUGGCGAAGGCGGGUCUCUGGGCCGUAACUGACGCUGAGGAGCGAAAGCGUGGGGAGCGAACAGG
rnacentral:rRNA from 1 species